GCUACUUUAGUUGAAAAUAUAAUACUGAGUUGCAAAUUCAGAGAUGAAGGGGCACUUCAAGUAGAU
rnacentral:tRNA from 1 species